rnacentral:rRNA from 1 species
GAAUCCCGUCUUUGGCACGGAUGCCUGGUGCUUCUGUGAUGCGCUCUCGAAGAGUCGAGUUGUUUGGGAAUGCAGCUCAAAAUGGGUGGUGAACUCCAUCUAAAGCUAAAUAUUGGCGAGAGACCGAUAGCGAACAAGUACCGUGAGGGAAAGAUGAAAAGCACUUUGGAAAGAGAGUGAAACAGUACGUGAAAUUGUUGAAAGGGAAACGCUUGAAGUCAGUCGCGUCGACCGAGACUCAGCCUCGCCUUGGCUUGGUGUACUUCUCGGCACGACGGGUCAGCAUCAAUUUUGCCCCUCGGAUAAUGGCAGGGGAAAGGUGGCACCUUUACGGGUGUGUUAUAGUCUUCUGUCGCAUGCGAGGGGUGGGAUUGAGGAACUCAGCACGCCGCAAGGCCGGGUUUCGACCACGUUCGUGCUUAGGAUGCUGGCAUAAUGGCUUUAAUCGACCCGUCUUGAAACACGGACCAAGGAGUCUAACAUGCCUGCGAGUGUUUGGGUGGAAAAACCCAUGCGCGCAAUGAAAGUGAAAGUUGAGAUCCUCUUCAAAGGGGGAGCAUUGACGCCCGGACCAGACCUUUUGUGACGGAUCCGCGGUAGAGCAUGCAUGUUGGGACCCGAAAGAUGGUGAACUAUGCCUGAAUAGGGUGAAGCCAGAGGAAACUCUGGUGGAGGCUCGUAGCGAUUCUGACGUGCAAAUCGAUCGUCAAAUUUGGGUAUAGGGGCGAAAGACUAAUCGAACCAUCUAGUAGCUGGUUCCUGCC